CUCUUUACAGAAGUUCAAUGUUUGCUCUGAGAAGUUGAAUGAACAAAAUUUAUUAAAUGAUAAAGUUGUAUCCUUGAAAGAUAUGCUGGUUUUAUUGGCAUAAUGGGCAAGCAUUGAAGUGCAACUUGGUGAACUACAAAACACAUCAAAUUCAGUUAUAAAAAUUUGAGUAACAAAUGUAUGCUAAUUAUUGUAUUGCCUGAACGAGUGUCAUUGCCGUUAAAAGAAGUGAAGAAUUCAAGUACUUUGGAAAAAAAAGACAACAAAAUACUUAAGUAAAUGGUCAAUUAUUUGGCACAAAUUGGAGUUAAAGAGAAGAAGAUUGUAUAUAUUUUUCAGAAACUGUGAAGUCAAAUAAGCAUAGCUUUUGCAGACAUGUGAUAGAGAUAGCGGAAGAAAAAAUGAUAAUCGUGGGCACCAAAUAUCAUAAGCUAAACACGAUUCAAUAACAAGUAGCUCAGCCAAUAUCGAAACUACUUUAUAAAUUUUAUAGUGAAUUUUUUUAUUUAAAACUCAAAAUGUCAGUUUUGGGUUUAAGUUUAGUGUUUGCAAUAUGUAUAUAUAACCGAACAAUUAUGUUAAAUAAAUAAAUUUUUAUACUUGUAUCA